UACGUAGGGCGCAAGCGUUAUCCGGAAUGAUUGGGCGUAAAGAGCUCGUAGGCGGUUUGUCGCGUCUGCUGUGAAAGACCGGGGCUCAACUCCGGUUCUGCAGUGGGUACGGGCAGACUAGAGUGCAGUAGGGGAGACUGGAAUUCCUGGUGUAGCGGUGAAAUGCGCAGAUAUCAGGAGGAACACCGAUGGCGAAGGCAGGUCUCUGGGCUGUAACUGACGCUGAGGAGCGAAAGCAUGGGGAGCGAACAGG
rnacentral:rRNA from 1 species